GGGGGGAGCGCCGGAUAUGGGCUAUGUCCCCCGGUGCCCUGGGCUCUGGGACCUGCGCUGAUGGAAUCGUGCUCGCCGGGGCGCACAGCCCCCU
rnacentral:pre_miRNA from 1 species